CACGAACGCUGGCGGCAGGCUUAACACAUGCAAGUCGAGCGCCCCGCAAGGGGAGCGGCAGACGGGUGAGUAACGCGUGGGAAUCUACCCAUCUCUACGGAACAACUCCGGGAAACUGGAGCUAAUACCGUAUACGUCCUUCGGGAGAAAGAUUUAUCGGAGAUGGAUGAGCCCGCGUUGGAUUAGCUAGUUGGUGGGGUAAUGGCCUACCAAGGCGACGAUCCAUAGCUGGUCUGAGAGGAUGAGCAGCCACACUGGGACUGAGACACGGCCCAGACUCCUACGGGAGGCAGCAGUGGGGAAUAUUGGACAAUGGGCGAAAGCCUGAUCCAGCCAUGCCGCGUGAGUGAUGAAGGCCCUAGGGUUGUAAAGCUCUUUCGCAGGUGAAGAUAAUGACGGUAACCUGAGAAGAAGCCCCGGCUAACUUCGUGCCAGCCGCCGCCGUAACAC
rnacentral:rRNA from 1 species